rnacentral:rRNA from 1 species
AGAGUUUGAUCCUGGCUCAGAUUGAACGCUGGCGGCAUGCCUUACACAUGCAAGUCGAACGACGGCAGGGGGCAACUCCUGUCGAGUGGCGAACGGGUGAGUAAUACAUCGGAACGUGUCCUGUCGUGGGGGAUAACCAGUCGAAAGACUGGCUAAUACCGCAUGAGAUCGAAGGAUGAAAGCGGGGGACCGCAAGGCCUCGCGCGAUAGGAGCGGCCGAUGCCGGAUUAGCUAGUUGGUGGGGUAAAAGCCUACCAAGGCGACGAUCCGUAGCUGGUUUGAGAGAACGACCAGCCACACUGGGACUGAGACACGGCCCAGACUCCUACGGGAGGCAGCAGUGGGGAAUUUUGGACAAUGGGCGCAAGCCUGAUCCAGCCAUGCCGCGUGUGUGAAGAAGGCCUUCGGGUUGUAAAGCACUUUCGGACGGAACGAAAUCGCGCGGGCGAAUAUCCCGCGUGGAUGACGGUACCGUAAGAAGAG